AUUGAACGCUGGCGGCAGGCCUAACACAUGCAAGUCGGGCGGAUGAAGGGAGCUUGCUCCUGGAUUCAGCGGCGGACGGGUGAGUAAUGCCUAGGAAUCUGCCUGGUAGUGGGGGAUAACGUCCGGAAACGGGCGCUAACACCGCAUACGUCCUGAGGGAGAAAGUGGGGGAUCUUCGGACCUCACGCUAUCAGAUGAGCCUAGGUCGGAUUAGCUAGUUGGUGGGGUAAAGGCCUACCAAGGCGACGAUCCGUAACUGGUCUGAGAGGAUGAUCAGUCACACUGGAACUGAGACACGGUCCAGACUCCUACGGGAGGCAGCAGUGGGGAAUAUUGGACAAUGGGCGAAAGCCUGAUCCAGCCAUGCCGCGUGUGUGAAGAAGGUCUUCGGAUUGUAAAGCACUUUAAGUUGGGAGGAAGGGCAGUAAGUUAAUACCUUGCUGUUUUGACGUUACCAACAGAAUAAGCACCGGCUAACUUCGUG
rnacentral:rRNA from 1 species